CCCAACUAUCCCUAUUAAUCAUUACGUCAAUCCUAGAAACCAACAAAAUAGGAUCAAACGUCCUAUUUCAUUAUUCCAUGCUAAUGUAUUCAAGCGUUAGCCUGCUUUAAACACUCUAAUUUUUUCAAAGUAACAGUCCUGUUUCCCUGCAACACCAAAUUAAUGACAUUACAGUUCUUCAAGAAGGAGGAAUCCAUCACGCCAGUACAGACCCAAAAGCCCGACCAACGGAUAAAUCCCGAAAUUCAACUACGAGCUUUUUAACUGCAACAACUUUAAUAUACGCUAUUGGAGCUGGAAUUACCGCGGCUGCUGGCACCAGACUUGCCCUCCAA
rnacentral:misc_RNA from 1 species